rnacentral:tRNA from 1 species
GCCUGGGUGGCUCAGUUGGUUGAGUGUCCGGCUUCGGCCAGGUCAUGAUCUCGUGGUUCAUGAUCUAGCAGUUUGUGGGUUCGAGCCCCACGUCAGGCU